CAGCCGCCGCGGUAAUACGAAGGGUGCAAGCGUUAAUCGGAAUUACUGGGCGUAAAGCGUGCGCAGGCGGUUUGUUAAGACAGAUGUGAAAUCCCCGGGCUCAACCUGGGAACUGCAUUUGUGACUGGCAAGCUAGAGUAUGGCAGAGGGGGGCGGAAUUCCACGUGUAGCAGUGAAAUGCGUAGAGAUGUGGAGGAACACCGAUGGCGAAAGCAGCCCCCUGGGCCAAUACUGACGCUCAUGCACGAAAGCGUGGGGAGCAAACAGGAUUAGAUACCCCUGUAGUCCCUGUCUCUUAUAC
rnacentral:rRNA from 1 species